rnacentral:rRNA from 1 species
UACGGAGGAUGCAAGCGUUAUCCGGAAUGAUUGGGCGUAAAGCGUCCGCAGGUGGCGAUGUAAGUCUGCUGUUAAAGAGCAAAGCUUAACUUUGUAAAAGCAGUGGAAACUACAUCGCUAGAGUGCGUUCGGGGCAGAGGGAAUUCCUGGUGUAGCGGUGAAAUGCGUAGAGAUCAGGAAGAACACCGGUGGCGAAAGCGCUCUGCUAGGCCGCAACUGACACUGAGGGACGAAAGCUAGGGGAGCGAAUGGG